rnacentral:lncRNA from 1 species
AUCCAGGGCUCAGCUGAGACUGGGGGCCUCACCACAGCCCCACUCAGAUGCCUGGUGGUUGGAUGGGCUGCCAGCUGAGGCACCUCCGUUCUCCAACUCAUGGCCUUUCCAGCAGGACAGCCUGGACUUCUCCAUAUGAGAAUUGGGUGUCAAGAAGCUCCAGCUAAUAGUGCGGCUCCACCUCCAGAGUGUUAACUCUGCUGGGCAAUAUAGUCAGACUCGUUGGCCCUGGACUUUUCUCUGACCCCAGUUGACCCAGCUACAGGGGUCUGAGCAGAGGGCCGAGGCCCCUCUGCACAAGGCUGGGACAGUGGGAGUCAGCAGUAGACACGUCCUGGCCCUGAAGAAGGCUGCAGUUUUGCUGGAUCCUACAUGGUUGACUGUCAGGAAGCUCUCAGGUUGGUCUAACCGCUGCUUGGGAGAGAGAUCCAUGUGAUGUGCUCCAGUCAAGGAGGGCUCAUGGGACGUGCCACAAAGUGGGCCUUGGAGGAUGUUGGAAUUUGGACAGACAGAGACACAGGAGAGAAGGAUUCCAGACAUGAUUUUAAUUCUUCAUGACUAGAUUCCACCCAAAGAUGUUUCUUUUGAAGCUUGGAGAAGGAGAAUGAAUAAAAAAGAAGAAUCCUUCUGGUAAUGUUAGGACUUUUGUGAAAUUUGAAAUGGCACAGUGUCCAAAACAACUUCUGAUUUCAUUUUGAGUUCAAUCACUUCAAAGAGAAGUUCAU